AUCUCUAUAGUAUAGUGGUAGCAUGCUUCGCUCUUAUGCUUUAGUCAUAACGCCGACACAUAUACUAUAUAUUGGUCGUUAUGGCUAGGACAGUGCCGGAGAGGUCAGGGGUUCAAUUCCUCCUGAGGGCA